rnacentral:tRNA from 1 species
GCUGCUGUAGCUCAGCCGGUAGAGCACUUCCUUGGUAAGGAAGAGGUCAUGGGUUCAAAUCCCGUCAGCAGCUCCA